CUGUGUAAAUAACAGGUGAAGAAAGGGCCGGGCAAGACCGGUGCCAGCCGCCGCGGUAAUACCGGCGGCUCGAGUGGUGGCCACUAUUACUGGGCUUAAAGCGUUCGUAGCUGGUCUGUUAAGUCUCUGGGGAAAUCUACUGGCUUAACCAAUAGGCGUCUCAGGGAUACUGGCAGACUAGGGACCGGGAGAGGUGAGAGGUACUCCAGGGGUAGGAGUGAAAUCCUGUAAUCCUUGGGGGACCACCUGUGGCGAAGGCGUCUCACCAGAACGGCUCCGACAGUGAGGGACGAAAGCUGGGGGAGCAAACCGGAUUAGAUACCCGGGUAGUCCCAGCCGUAAACGAUGCGCGUUAGGUGUAUCGGUGACCACGAGUCACCGAGGUGCCGAAGAGAAAUCGUGAAACGUGCCGCCUGGGAAGUACGGUCGCAAGGCUGAAACUUAAAGGAAUUGGCGGGGGAGCACCACAACAGGUGGAGCCUGCGGUUUAAUCGGACUCAACGCCGGAAAUCUCACCGGAUAAGACAGCUGGAUGAUAGUCGGGCUGAAGACUCUACUUGACUAGCUGAGAGGAGGUGCAUGGCCGUCGUCAGUUCGUAU
rnacentral:rRNA from 1 species